AGCGUUGUUCGGAAUUACUGGGCGUAAAGCGCACGUAGGCGGCUACUCAAGUCGGGGGUGAAAGCCCGGGGCUCAACCCCGGAACUGCCCUCGAAACUAGGUAGCUAGAAUCUUGGAGAGGUCAGUGGAAUUCCGAGUGUAG
rnacentral:rRNA from 1 species